GCCUCCUAACCGCCCUCGGCCAGUGGCUGGCCAGGCUGUCGGUCACCCAGCCCAGCUGGUUCGCCGUCCCCCGCCGCAGGAGAGAGUCCAAGAAAUAAGGCGGGUACGUUGAAACGAUGGAGAAAGGAUGGAAUGCCACAGUGGUCGAGAUUAAGAGGAUCUCAUUCUGUUGCCCAGAUUGGAAUGCGAGAUCACAGC